CACGUAGGGGGCAAGCGUUGUCCGGAUUUAUUGGGCGUAAAGAGCUCGUAGGCGGUUCGGUAAGUCGGGUGUGAAACCUCCAGGCUCAACCUGGAGUCGCCACUCGAUACUGCUGUGACUAGAGUCCGGUAGGGGAGCGUGGAAUUCCUGGUGUAGCGGUGAAAUGCGCAGAUAUCAGGAGGAACACCGGUGGCGAAGGCGGUUCUCUGGGCCUUACCUGACGCUGAGGAGCGAAAGCGUGGGGAGCAAACAGG
rnacentral:rRNA from 1 species